CGUUAAAGUGGGGACUUAAAUGUGUUGAAAUCCAAACUCUCGUGCCCAAAUUGAAAUAGAAAGGCGUUUAGUUAAACAAUCGGCCAACUAAUGCUUGACAGAGUCGCCUAUAGUAUAGGGAACUAAAUCGUAAUGUGGUGUUGAUUUAAAAUGAGCAGCAAUUUCUGUGCCAUGAAAUAUAAAAUCCUUUCCCAACCUCAAUUGAGACUCUUUCAAUUCUUUAAGAAAGCUCA
rnacentral:lncRNA from 1 species